AGUGCCACCCAUGGGUGCUGACGUGCCCCCCCCCCCAGAUGGUGAUGUGGGGCCGGACGCCGAGCGGCUGAAGAGCGAAGGGGGGGAGCUGCCCCUGGAGGAGCUGCUGCGCUCGCUGCCACCCCAGGCGAUGCUGCGCCGGAACAAGCGGCCCUGGGAACCCCGCGACGAGGAUGAGGAGUUCGCUGCUGAGGACGAGGAAGGUGAGCGCCCCGGGCUGCUGCCACCCGCCACAGCUCCAGUGUCACCUGUCCCCGACUGUUGUCACCUCUUCCUGGGCUCUGUCACCUGUCCCAGGUCCCUUGUCACCCAUCCCCGACUGUUGUCACCUCUUCUUGGGCUCUGUCACCCAUCCCAGGGUUCUGUCACC
rnacentral:lncRNA from 1 species